rnacentral:rRNA from 1 species
AUUGAACGCUAGCGGGAUGCCUUACACAUGCAAGUCGAACGGCAGCACGGACUUCGGUCUGGUGGCGAGUGGCGAACGGGUGAGUAAUGUAUCGGAACGUGCCCAGUAGCGGGGGAUAACUACUCGAAAGAGUAGCUAAUACCGCAUACGCCCUACGGGGGAAAGGGGGGGAUCGCAAGACCUCUCACUAUUGGAGCGGCCGAUAUCGGAUUAGCUAGUUGGUGGGGUAAAGGCCCACCAAGGCGACGAUCCGUAGCUGGUUUGAGAGGACGACCAGCCACACUGGGACUGAGACACGGCCCAGACUCCUACGGGAGGCAGCAGGGGGGAAUUUUGGACAAUGGGGGCGACCCUGAUCCAGCCAUCCCGCGUGUGCGAUGAAGGCCUUCGGGUUGUAAAGCACUUUUGGCAGGAAAGAAAUCGCACGGGCUAAUACCUCGUGUGGAUGACGGUACCUGCAGAAUAAGCACCGGCUAACUACGUGCCAGCAGCCGCCGUAA